rnacentral:rRNA from 1 species
UACGUAGGGGGCAAGCGUUGUCCGGAAUCAUUGGGCGUAAAGAGCGCGUAGGCGGUCCGGUAAGUCCGCUCUGAAAGCCCGGGGCUCAACCCCGGGAGGCGGGCGGAUACUGUCGGGCUAGAGUCCGGAAGAGGCGAGUGGAAUUCCUGGUGUAGCGGUGAAAUGCGCAGAUAUCAGGAAGAACACCCGUGGCUAAGGCGGCUCUCUAGUACGGUACUGACGCUGAGACGCGAAAGCGUGGGGAGCGAACAGG